UAAAAUACAUCCGUUAGCAAGGGCCGGGCAAGACCGGUGCCAGCCGCCGCGGUAACACCGGCGGCUCGAGUGGUGAUCGUGAUUAUUGGGUCUAAAGCGUCCGUAGCCGGUUUGGUCAGUCCUCCGGGAAAUCUGAUAGCUCAACUAUUAGGCUUUCGGGGGAUACUGCCAGACUUGGAACCGGGAGAGGUAAGAGGUACUACAGGGGUAGGAGUGAAAUCUUGUAAUCCCUGUGGGACCACCUGUGGCGAAGGCGUCUUACCAGAACGGGUUCGACGGUGAGGGACGAAAGCUGGGGGCACGAACCGGAUUAGAUACCCGGGUAGUCCCAGCCGUAAACGAUGCUCGUUAGGUGUCAGGCAGGGCGCGAGUCGUGUCUGGUGCCGCAGGGAAGCCGUGAAGCGAGCCACCUGGGAAGUACGGCCGCAAGGCUGAAACUUAAAGGAAUUGGCGGGGGAGCACAACAACAGGUGGAGCCUGCGGUUUAAUUGGACUCAACGCCGGACAACUCACCGGGGGCGACAGCAAUAUGUAGGCCAAGCUGAAGACUUUGCAUGAAUCGCUGAGAGGAGGUGCAUGGCCGUCGCCAGUUCGUACUGUGAAGCAUCCUGUUAAGUCAGGCAACGAGCGAGACCCGUGCCCACUGUUACCAGCAUGUCCUCCGGGACGAUGGGUACUCUGUGGGGACCGCCNNUGUUAAAUCGGAGGAAGGUGCGGGCCACGGUAGGUCAGUAUGCCCCGAAUCUUCCGGGCUACACGCGGGCUACAAUGGACGGGACAAUGGGUCCCUCCCCUGAAAAGGGCUGGUAAUCUCACAAACCCAUUCGUAGUUCGGAUCGAGGGCUGUAACUCGCCCUCGUGAAGCUGGAAUCCGUAGUAAUCGCNUCA
rnacentral:rRNA from 1 species